GGCAGAUGAUGGCUCUUUCCUCAUGAUGGUCUGUGGAUGCCACUGUGGGCAGCGCCGAUCACGCCAAUGGCUUAGCUGAUGCUGGGAG
rnacentral:snoRNA from 1 species